rnacentral:lncRNA from 1 species
CACCUAAUAAGAGUAAAGGCAAAGAGCCUCUCAAGCACUGUGAAAAAUCACUUUCUCUUGUUGUAUUCUUGGAGCCCCUGCUAAUUCAUUAUUGAAAAAUACCUGCUGCCUGCAUUUGGCCUUAUGUUGUCAUUUACUUGGGUCUGUGCAUGGCGUUUAGAAGGCUACACCUUAGGCUGGGGGUCAAGAAUGUCUUCCCUGAUGUGAGGUUUACACAGAGAUCUGAAGAAUGAAGAGUCCAGCUAAGUUAAGUGGGAGCGGAUUAAGGGAAUGCAAGGACAUGAAAGAGUGUCCUAGGCAGAGGGAACAACAUAUACAAAGGCCCUGAGGUGGGAGUGAACAAGGAACUGAGAGAAGAACUGAGAGAAGGCCACUGUGGAAAGCCAGAUGCUGUGUGACAUGAAUAAUGGGACACAGGAAAUUGAGAUAUUAGCAAAAGAGAGAUUGAUGACCCAUAGGCUUGAAGAUGUACUGGAACUAAAGUAAGGGGCGAGGAUAAAUAAAAAGAGGGAGAAAUUGGAGAAACAGAGUGCUUGGAAGCCCUGAUGAAUUUGAGGAAAAGGAUGGUGAUAGAGUUGACCUAGCCAGCUAGAAGAGUAGUACUUUUUAGUCAGUGAGCCCUCCAUCCCAUUUCUCAUUAAUUCUUGUAACACUUUCUCACUUCCUAUAUUCUGUCAUAUUUUAUAGUUGUUUAUAUAAUUAUCUUA